rnacentral:rRNA from 1 species
AUGCCGCGUGAGUGAUGAAGGCCCUAGGGUUGUAAAGCUCUUUUGUGCGGGAAGAUAAUGACGGUACCGCAAGAAUAAGCCCCGGCUAACUUCGUGCCAGCAGCCGCGGUAAUACGAAGGGGGCUAGCGUUGCUCGGAAUCACUGGGCGUAAAGGGUGCGUAGGCGGGUCUUUAAGUCAGGGGUGAAAUCCUGGAGCUCAACUCCAGAACUGCCUUUGAUACUGAAGAUCUUGAGUUCGGGAGAGGUGAGUGGAACUGCGAGUGUAGAGGUGAAAUUCGUAGAUAUUCGCAAGAACACCAGUGGCGAAGGCGGCUCACUGGCCCGAUACUGACGCUGAGGCACGAAAGCGUGGGGAGCAAACAGGAUUAGAUACCCUGGUAGUCCACGCCGUGAAAC